UAAAAGUGUGACAAGCUGGCUUGCUGUGA
rnacentral:piRNA from 1 species